CUGACUCUCGGCAGAAUCACAAUCAUGCUCCAUUUAUUUAAAAGUAAUUGGUUUGGAUGUUCAUCCUCCGCCUGAACUAGACACUCCAAACAGAGACAGAUGUGUAGACACGUGUGCUGCUGCAAGAAGAGGGAAUUCCACUCUGGAAACUGGAGCACACAGAAAAGAGGGAUUUGCAAAAGAGUGAGAGAGAGCAGUGGGCAGAGCAAACGCUUUGAUCUGCUGUAGCUGCAAGCUGAAUAACAGAGGGUUAACAUAGCUCAGCUGCGUUCUUUUUUGGGAAUGCUCAUUAGCAUUGCAAAUAGUGGAAGAACAGUAUUCUUUUCUCUUUUUUUUCAGUGCACCCCCUUUACUCAAACUCUUUUUGAAAAGAAUGAAAAAGUGUUUAGGGACUGAAAAUCCAAUGUAGCAUUGGUGAAGCAAAAUUAUAAAGCACGUAAUGAAGAUUUUUAAGGCACACUAAUUUUAUACACUACAUUUUAUGUUAAGCAGCUACUGACAAGGACAAAAGCUGGCUUCUAAAAAUAUUUAAAAUUUGAAUCCAUGCUGAUUUUAGUUUUUGUCUUCUGGUGCCCCCUGCUGCACAACAUUGUCAGUACAUGCUUCAUCUGUUGUUUGACAUGUGUCCACAGAUUGUCCUGAUGUGACUGCUUGUGUCGGCUAUCGGGUCAGAAAAUCCCAUGACAGCGUCUGAGGAAAACUAUAUAGAGAAACUGGUCUGGUCCUGUAGUUCUUCAUGUGACUCAGCCAUUCAUACCACACAAUUCUCAGUGAAGCCACUCCGACAGCAGUUCCCCAACAAAUGCUGGUAAUAUUCCCAUCAUCCAACGAGUGAAGACAACACAUUAUACAUAUCUACUGCUGUAAAGAUGACGUUUUUUUAAGAAGAGAGUGAAGACACGAGUGAUCCAGAACAGUAAACAUUUAAAUAAGAUAUUGAGGAGCAAACAGACCUACUGGAAGUAAAAGAAGCAAGUCAAGAUCUGAAUGAAGAGAAGGAGGAUAAUCAGCAUCAGGAACCUCCUAAUGUGACAACUAGAGGAUCUUUUAGUUGCACAGCGACUGAAAACAAUGGUGUGCAAAAAAAGAACUAAAAAUUCAGCUGCCAAAAUCAAGUUCACUUGCCCUGAAUGUGGAAAGAGUUUCACACGUAAAGGAGUCACUUAAGAAUUCACACUGGAGAGAAGCCGUUCACAUGCCGGCAAUGCGGACAGAGUUUCACACGAGAAGGACAUCUUAAUCAGCACACAAGAACUGAAGAAGAGAGCGGCCAUACACAUGCUCUCAGUGUGGAAAGAGUUUUACGUAUAAAGGAUACUUUAAGCAUCGUUUGAGAAUUCAUACUGGAGAAAAACCUUACAAGUGUUCCUACUGUGGAAAGGAUUUUACUAUGUUUGGAAACCUGAAAAUACACAGAAGCUUCAGUGAAUCAGGCUAUUUAAGGAUUAGUUUAAGCAGGCAUUGUCCUCAAAGAAUCAAAGUUCACCUUCUAGCCUCAAGUCCAAGUGACUAUAGUAUCAAAUUCAGAUAAACUUGCAUCAUUUGAUCUGAAAAGGAAAUUUGAUUUAAUGUAUUUAGUGUAAGCCUACUUGUUCAGAAAAUGUUGUUGUUUUUGUGAUAAUGCUUUUGUUUCAUGUUGGAGUAGCAAUAGUACUAAAAUAGUAGCGGCCGACUGAUAUAUUAGUAUGGCUGAUAUUUGGCUUUUUUUAUUAGCUGCAUAGGUUUAUAAGUUUUAUGAGCAGGACUAUUAUUUUGACUAUUUCUAUGGUGCUCUAUAUCUAGUUUACUACUAUGUCAUAGUCACUGUGUACCUGUAUGUAAAAUUGGCAUUGCCUAGGCUUUAUUUGAGAAAAUAUGGCUCAGACCAGAUUACAGAGUGCACUAAGUACAAUGUUUACUUCCCUUUUGUUCGUAAUUUAAACACUCUAAAUUCAUCCUUGUUUUGAAAUCGGACCUUGCAUCACCAUGGAAAUGGUACUUUAAAAUCUUUUAGUAGUCGGUGUCAAGCAUCAUAUUACAAAAUUUAGUACAGUAUUUUAUAAUAAAAACUUUUUAGAAUCUUGACAAAAUAUAUCCGAGUCUCAAGGUUCCAUAUUUAUAACGCCUAAAUAAAAUCUCACAAGAACCUCAAUUUUCCUCAUAUCAACUUCAGAUUUGAAACAACUUAUUUAGACAUUGACAUUGAUAUUGUAUUUUAUUGUCAGUAAACUUCUAUAACUUUUUUCAUGUUUUAACACUUCAGUGAUAAUCUGCUGAUUGUCUCCUUUAAAGAGAGCCUUAGGUCUGUAUUCUAAAGCACUCAUGAAUUACAACAAUUUAAAUUCAGAUGUCAAAAAAUAAUUUAAAUAUUUUUUGAUAAAUAUUUAUUAAAAAAAUUGCCAUAAUAGGGCUACAGAAUCAAGAAGCUGCAAUCUAAAGUAUAAAUGUUUAUUUUACAGAUUUGUUUUUUAAUCAAUUUAUUUAUUUUUUCAAAAUUCAUGUUUUUAUAGUUUACUCAGAGACGAUAACAGUAUUGUUUUCAAAAACUUGCACUUUGAAACCCGUUUUCAAAAGUUUGUUUUCAGGUCCUCGAAACACCAUUGUCUUGUAAAUGAAUGACCAAAAGGAUAAAAAGUUUUCCAUUUUUAGUUGAAAAUGGUGUUGUGUAAACACCCUCUAAAAUAUCGGCAUCGGCCAUCAAAAAAAGACUACUAUAGAUUACGUUAAGCAUGCAUAAGGGAAUUUGUCAUAACAUAACACUAAACUGUCCAUUCUGUAAAUCAC